GGGGUGCUUCUUUGAUUGUUUUUCUUCAAGUUUUGACCUUCUGAACCAUUGUGGAAGUAUUUUACUUUGUACAUAGCAAUUUGAUGAUUAGGUUGUGAAAUUUGUAAGCUUCUUCAAAUUCAACACCCUUAUAAUGGAAAGCUUCAACACUUACUGAACGGCUAAAAGACCUGAAUGAUUUGAUAUUAUAUGCAUCAUCAAUAGGCAAAUUGAAGAAUUGUGAAUUUCUUCCGAGGUGCUUGUGAAAAUCUAUUGUUUGAUAUAACAUGUUUUUGAGGCUAGGACUUUUUACCAAAGAAUGUUUACAUUGUUCACAACUUCACAUGUAACUUUGUGGAUUUAUAUAUAAGUUCCAUGGUAUUAGUUAUUUGACUGUACUAGUAUUAUUGAUAAUUUUGGUUCCAAACGGUGGACUUUAUUGGUAGGAACUUUUACAAGAAAUGUACUGAUAUUUAAGGUGCAUGACCAGUGCCCAGAAACACUUUUUGGGAAACUGAGUUGGAAGCUUCCAAAGAGAGCUGCAGUCAAUCAUUUUUCGAGUAUUCUUGUGUUGGUUACUUGGUGUUCCUGAACAAGAAGGACUCUUCAAGCAAUCAGCAGAUCAAACGAGCAGAAUUGCCAGUUUGUACUGGUUUUGAGUUUUUGUUGGAGUGGAAUGCUCAGGCUCCUGCUUCUCUUAAUAAAGAUCUACCGAUGGAUCAUCAAUGUGUUCCAUAUGAAAAUAAAAACAUGCUGGGAUGAGUAAAUGCAAUGCACGACUGUUAAGGAGAUGAGGGUCGUGUUCUUCCCCAACCUCAACCUCAACCUCAACCUCAAACCUACAGACCAGCUCAUUCCACAGGAGAGGAAUACGUG